GAUUAGAAAGUGAAAAAUUACAUUUAGUUUCGGCCUAAAAUUUGGUCAAGUGACCUCUAAUUU
rnacentral:tRNA from 1 species